AGUGAACGCUGGCGGCAGGCCUAACACAUGCAAGUCGAACGGCAGCACAGCAGUAGCAAUACUGUGGGUGGCGAGUGGCGGACGGGUGAGGAGUACAUCGGGAUCUACCUUUUCGUGGGGGAUAACGUAGGGAAACUUACGCUAAUACCGCAUACGCCCUACGGGGAAAGCGGCGGACCGCAAGGCGUCGCGCGAUGAGAUGAACCGAUGUCCGAUUAGCUAGUUGGCGGGGUAAAGGCCCACCAAGGCGACGAUCGGUAGCUGAUCUGAGAGGAUGAUCAGCCACACUGGAACUGAGACACGGUCCAGACUCCUACGGGAGGCAGCAGUGGGGAAUAUUGGACAAUGGGCGCAAGCCUGAUCCAGCCAUGCCGCGUGGGUGAAGAAGGCCUCGGUUGUAAGACCUUUCGUCGAACGAAAGACACGGAGUAAUAACCUCGUCGUGAGUGACGGUACCGGAAGGAAUAAGACACCGGACGUAACUUACGUGCCAGCAGCCGCGGUAAACG
rnacentral:rRNA from 1 species